rnacentral:rRNA from 1 species
UACGUAGGGUGCGAGCGUUAAUCGGAAUUACUGGGCGUAAAGCGUGCGCAGGCGGUUUUGUAAGCCAGAUGUGAAAUCCCCGGGCUUAACCUGGGAAUGGCAUUUGGGACUGCAAGGCUUGAGUGCGGCAGAGGAGACUGGAAUUCCCGGUGUAGCAGUGAAAUGCGUAGAUAUCGGGAGGAAUACCAGUGGCGAAGGCGGCGACCUGGACGGACAUUGACGCUGAGACGCGAAAGCGUGGGGAGCAAACAGG